rnacentral:tRNA from 1 species
GCCUGGCUGGUUCAGUCAGUAGAGCAGGGGACUUUUGAGCUCAGGGCGGUGGGUUCAUGCCCCACGUUGGGCA